GGGUCAGUAGGUUGGUCGUGCCACCGGUACGUACUGGUCUCACUGAUUCCUCCUUCCUGAAGAACCGUAAUGCCAUUAAUUUGGUGUUGCGGGGAAACAGGACUGUUACUUUGAAAAAAUUAGAGUGUUUAAGCAAGCUAACGCUUGAAUACAUUAGCAUGGAAUAAUGAAAUAGGACGAUCGAUCCUAUUUUGUUGGUUUCUAGGAUUGACGUA
rnacentral:rRNA from 1 species